GGAAGUAAGUAACAAGGUUUCCGUAGGUGAACCUGCGGAAGGAUCAUUAUUGUAUAACCGAGGUGCGAGGGCUGUCGCUGACCCGAAAGGUCGUGCACGCCCGAGUGCCCUCACACACAUCCAUCUCACCCCCAUGUGCACCACCGCGUGGGUCCCCCUUUGGCUUGUUCGGAGGGGGGCUUACGUUUUCACACAAACUUUGUAUGCAGUGUAGAAUGUAUUUUUUGUUUUUGCGAUCACGCAAUCAAUACAACUUUCAACAACGGAUCUCUUGGCUCUC
rnacentral:misc_RNA from 1 species